UGACGUGAGAGCCGCUCUUUAUUUUGAAGUGGUUGUUCUGUUGUCAUGGUAACCAGAGGCUUCCCCUCUGUCAUUUCCGGCUGUCCGACACGACCAGCUGGGCUUUGAUUUUUAUGCUUCCUUCACAACGGCACAAGUUUAAAGUGCUGAGACAGUGAGAUGCAACUGAGCGCCGCCUGUCUGGAAAGCCACAGCUAAUCCCUCCAUGACCUCUCCAUGCUGGGAAGCCGAAAGACUGUGGAGGAGCACGGGAGUAGAAGCAGCACCUGAAAUUUGCAUCCAGUCGUCUUGCAGCCCGAGAGCCAGCACCAUUGGGAGCCCGACCCCGAGGAUGAGAGUGAGGCUCUCCAGGAGCCCGAGGCGUCGCUGCUUGUGGGCCUCGGCUCCAGUGUGCUGCUGGAAGUCAGA